rnacentral:rRNA from 1 species
CGGACGGGUGAGUAAUGCCUGGGGAUCUGCCCAGUCGAGGGGGAUAACAGUUGGAAACGACUGCUAAUACCGCAUACGCCCUACGGGGGAAAGGAGGGGACCUUAGGGCCUUUCGCGAUUGGAUGAACCCAGGUGGGAUUAGCUAGUUGGUGGGGUAAUGGCUCACCAAGGCGACGAUCCCUAGCUGGUCUGAGAGGAUGAUCAGCCACACUGGAACUGAGACACGGUCCAGACUCCUACGGGAGGCAGCAGUGGGGAAUAUUGCACAAUGGGGGAAACCCUGAUGCAGCCAUGCCGCGUGUGUGAAGAAGGCCUUCGGGUUGUAAAGCACUUUCAGCGAGGAGGAAAGGUUGGCGCCUAAUACGUGUCAACUGUGACGUUACUCGCAGAAGAAGCAGCCGGCUAA